AUGAUGGUCGAAUCAGAUGUUCGUGGCUACCUUUAUGAGCCGCAAUAUAGCGAAGAGCAGCUGAGGCUGAACAGGAGGCGGCUGAGGCUUCUGCAGCCGAGGCAGAGGACCUGCCUGUCGCGGACGAGGGGCCCGGACUGGCUCGAGCUGGGGCGGACUGCUGGUGCCUGUGCUCUCGCUGUGCGCCUACGGACACACGGACGUCUGACUGUAAAACAAUGUCGCCUAACAGCCUUUCUGGAAUGGGUCCUGCAAGGCGAGAGAUUGGGUCGAGGCCAUCGUGUCGUUUUACCUGCUGAUGUGGUGCAGGCUAUCCGACAGAAACAUCCAGCUCCAGAUGGCCAGUACUGCGGCACCGAGGAGUUGAGGACGCUCAGGAGGAACUAUAACUGUCAUUGUUAACAUAUUUAUUUUUGUUGUUGUUGAUAUAUUUCUGUAAAUAAAUGGUUCACAUUCACAUUGUUGUAGUCUUUGAUAGUGUCAGUGGGAGCGGCUUGCGGAGCUGUGCAUUCUGGGAGUUGUUGUCUUUAAUACAAAUGCGCCCUAAAGUCACUUUCUGUCUUUUCUCGGUCAAAUAGGCAUCAAAUUCAAAAUGUAUGUUACAUUUCGACUACAUAUAUAACCCACUUUCAAUAAAUAUUAAUGUUUCCACGGGUGAAAUGCUCCUUUAAUAAUAAUUUAUCUCCUGGUUACCAGCUUCUCUAUUCUGUAUCGUGUUGCAUUAAUCAGCUAAAAGUACAAUUAGAACGCACUCUGCCACCCCCUCCUGUUUGGAUAUCAGCCCAGACAGUGGUUCCCUACCUGGGGGUUGCCAAAGCUCCAUGGGUGGUCGCGAGGCCUUCGUGAUUUUAAAGCUGCAGUAGGUAACUACUGGCUCAGGGAUCACACUGGAUGUCUCAGCUGGACGAAAGUGUUUAUAUUGUACAGGUCCGCUGGAGUGCACAGAGACAAUCAGUAAAUGCAGCCUCUCCUCAGCCAAUCUCUGCUUUAAAUUUGGCAUCUGGUGCUCUUUGGUUGCACACAUGAGUACACAGGCAAACUGCUAUGUCAAGCUUCAUCUGACACGACGUAGUCAUGUGAAAGAAGUGUUCACUUUUGGCAUUGUUUGGAGAAAAAAAUCCCUCACAACCACAAUCCUCAAUCUUGUUGAGUGUGACCAACAUCUCCAGGGUUGACACACUGUUCCUUUCACAAAUGAAAAGUAAAAGGGAAAAAGAAAAGCUUGAAUAUGUGCUGUUGAUAUAGAAAGAGUAUAUAAAAAUCUACCUGUGACAUUAAACCACAAAAUCUGCUGGAAACCUCACAUAAAACGUCCGAGCAAAGCUAGCAAUGAGCGCUGUAUAUCUUUAUUGUUCACUGG
rnacentral:lncRNA from 1 species